rnacentral:rRNA from 1 species
AACGCGAAGAACCUUACCAGGAUUCGACAUGUCCCUUAUGGAUUCCCGAAAAGGAAUCCUUCACUUCGGGUGGGGGGAACACAGGUGCUGCAUGGCUGUCGUCAGCUCGUGUCGUGAGAUGUUGGGUUAAGUCCCGCAACGAGCGCAACCCUCGUCCUCUGUUGCUAACAGGUUAGGCUGAGCACUCUGAGGAAACUGCCGGUGAUAAGCCGGAGGAAGGUGGGGAUGACGUCAAGUCCUCAUGGCCCUUACAUCCUGGGCUACACACGUGUUACAAUGGCAGUGACAAUGGGUCGCGAUCGCGCAAGCGCUAGCCAAUCCCAAAAAAGCUGCCUCAGUUCGGAUUGUACUCUGCAACUCGAGUACAUGAAGCUGGAAUCGCUAGUAAUCGUGGAUCAGCACGCCACGGUGAAUACGUUCCCGGGCCUUGUACACACCGAGACGAC